ensembl:lncRNA
AUUGAAUCAUCAAUAUCCGCCCGCUGGCUUCCAUUCCCCCCGACCGUUUACAGUGACUUAUCAUCUGUCUAGUUGCCGAUGUCUCUGGGUGCUUGAUCGGAUAGUGCUUGUGAACAGCCACGUAGACGCCACGGAACAAGCACUAGCAUGACAAUCCAACACCACCCCCGAAAGAUUGAGAGGGGCCUUAUUAUGCUCGCUAGCUGCCCGCAGUGAUAUGGCUAGCUCUUUUUACUACGUUGUACCGCCGCGGUGAAUAAAUCACGUUGCGUCAAGCUCCGUAAAUCGAUCCACUCUGCGCUUCCACGCAUUCUUUGUUGGAGUGCACCCGUGGAGUUUUUCCCCACAGGAUGAAAUACUGCUUUUUAUUUUUCGGGCCUGUCAAGAAACUUGAGCAGUUAUUCCCAGUCCGGCGCCGCUGAAUUAAUGGAGAAUUAAAGAGCAUCGGCUGAGUGAAGCCUCUCAGAAUCCCAACCCAGAUGAAAGGUGCACAGAGACAUCAGUGUGUGUGUGUGUGUGUGUGUGUGUGUUACGUGUUUGGGUCUUUACAUUCCUGUGCUCCUGUGUCCUCUCCGGCGCCCAGCCAAGCCGAUGCCCUACGGGCCACGGAGGCGUAAACCGUGACAGCGUGCCCCGCCCAGUGCCACCCUUGCCACCUCCUGGCCACAGGCUACAAGCUAGCUCGUCUGGACGAGCUGGAUGACGGCGGUGAGACGCGGAGUCGAGCUUGAGACCGUGAUCAGGCGCUGGCCCAGCUACUGUGGCCAGUUUCGAUUUGCAGCAUGUUGAAAUCCUUUGGCAACUCACCGCUCCGUCAACCCCCCACCCAACCCCCACCCCACCUCAAUUUUUCUGCACCUCAUUGCCCAAUGUCAACGUGGGUUGGGGGCUCGUCUCGGAGAAGUGGGGGACGCAGCAGGUUUAGAGCUUGAUGUCCAGAGCUGUACCUGUCUGUCCCAUGUGCUGGCUGUGUUGUCCCCCCCCCCCCCCCCCCAGCCUAUCUUGGUUCUAUUGUUUUCCACCCUCCCGUCCUGGUAACCCUUGUGAUCUGUUUCCCAUUCCUGCCAUAAUUAUUAUUUCGUUGUGUAAUUAUAAAAUCGCAGCGGCAGGGGCGGACAAAGCUGUUCUAUCGAUUGACCUAACAGAGGGAUUGAUUGAGGCGCAUUUGCAUGGAGAUCUGUUCCACGGCGGCUUAGAGAUCCUGAUCGAUCGCCCGGGAUUGAAGUGUAGUCGUCUCUGGAUGCUUUUCAGAGGUUGAGGUGAAAAUAAAUUUGUUUGUUUGCCACACUUUAUAUAAUAAUUUACACGGUAAAAUAAUGAGAUAUGACUUGAUUAUUGGUUUUUAUUUCAUUAUAUGAGCAAUAAAUGUUUUUGUGGAUC